AUUACGCUGGCGGCAGGCUUAACACAUGCAAGUCGAGCGGGGGAAGGUAGCUUGCUACNGGACCUAGCGGCGGACGGGUGAGUAAUGCUUAGGAAUCUGCCUAUUAGUGGGGGGACAACAUCUCGAAAGGGAUGCUAAUACCGCAUACGUCCUACGGGAGAAAGCAGGGGAUCUUCGGACCUUGCGCUAAUAGAUGAGCCUAAGUCGGAUUAGCUAGUUGGUGGGGUAAAGGCCUACCAAGGCGACGAUCUGUAGCGGGUCUGAGAGGAUGAUCCGCCACACUGGGACUGAGACACGGCCCAGACUCCUACGGGAGGCAGUAGUGGGGAAUAUUGGACAAUGGGGGGAACCCUGAUCCAGCCAUGCCGCGUGUGUGAAGAAGGCCUUAUGGUCGUAAAGCACUCUAAGCGAGGAGGAGGCUACUCUAGUUAAUACCUAGAGAUAGUGGACGUUACUCGCAGAACAAGCACCGGCUAACUCUGUGCCAGCAGCCCGGGU
rnacentral:rRNA from 1 species